rnacentral:rRNA from 1 species
AUUGAACGCUGGCGGCGUGCUUAACACAUGCAAGUCGAUCGGUAACGCGGGGGCAACCCUGGCGACGAGAGGCGGACGGGUGAGGAACGCUUGGGAAUCUGCCUAUCGGCGGGGGACAACACGGGGAAACUCGUGCUAAUACCGCAUACGCUCUACGGAGGAAAGCCGGGGACCGCAAGGCCUGGCACUGAUAGGUGAGCCCAAGCCGGAUUAGCUAGUUGGCGGGGUAACGGCCCACCAAGGCGACGAUACGUAGCUGGUCUGAGAGGACGAUCAGCCACACUAGGACUGAGACACGGACCAGACUCCUACGGGAGGCAGCAGUGGGGAAUAUUGGACAAUGGGAGAAACCCUGAUCCAGCGACGCCGCGUGGGUGAAGAAGGCCUGCGGGUUGUAAAGCCCUUUCGGUAGGGACGAAAGCUCUCGACCUAACACGUCGGGAGGUUGACUUAACCUACAAAAGAAGCACCGGCUAACUCUGUGCCAGCCGCCGCCGUAAAAC